rnacentral:lncRNA from 1 species
UACAAGGCUUUCAAGCUUUUGCUCAAAUUUGGUUCUGUGGGAAGCUGUGUGACCAUAAGCCAGUUGCUUAGCGGAGGUGAGAGGUGCAGAGGUGAGAGAUGAGAGCUACAGAGGUGCAGAGGUGGGAGGUGCGGAGGUGAGAGGUGAGAGCUACAGAGGUGCAGAGGUGAGAGGUGCAGAGGUGCAGAGGUGAGAGAUGAGAGCUACA